rnacentral:rRNA from 1 species
AAUAGAUACCCGGGUAGUCCACGCCGUAAACGAUGAGUGCUAAGUGUUAGAGGGUUUCCGCCCGUUUAGUGCUGCAGCUAACGCAUUAAGCACUCCGCCUGGGGAGUACGGCCGCAAGGCUGAAACUCAAAGGAAUUGACGGGGGGCCCGCACAAGCGGUGGAGCAUGUGGUUUAAUUCGAAGCAACGCGAAGAACCUUACCAGGUCUUGACAUCCUCUGCCAACCCUAGAGAUAGGGCGUUCCCCCUUCGGGGGGACAGAGUGACAGGUGGUGCAUGGUUGUCGUCAGCUCGUGUCGUGAGAUGUUGGGUUAAGUCCCGCAACGAGCGCAACCCUUGAUCUUAGUUGCCAGCAUUCAGUUGGGCACUCUAAGGUUGACUACCGGGUGACAAACCGGAGGAAGGUGGGGGAUGACGUCAAAUCAUCAUGCCCCUUAUGACCUGGGCUACACACGUGCUACAAUGGAUGGUACAAAGAGCUGCGAACCCGCGAGGGUAAGCCAAUCUCAUAAAGCCAUUCUCAGUUCGGA